CCUACGGGUGGCUGCAGUGGGGAAUAUUGGACAAUGGGCGAAAGCCUGAUCCAGCCAUGCCGCGUGUGUGAAGAAGGCCUUCGGGUUGUAAAGCACUUUCAGUGGGGAAGAAAGCCUUGGGGCUAAUACCCUCGAGGAAGGACAUCACCCACAGAAGAAGCACCGGCUAACUCCGUGCCAGCAGCCGCGGUAAUACGGAGGGUGCGAGCGUUAAUCGGAAUUACUGGGCGUAAAGCGCGCGUAGGCGGUCUGAUAAGCCGGUUGUGAAAGCCCCGGGCUCAACCUGGGAACGGCAUCCGGAACUGUCAGGCUAGAGUGCAGGAGAGGAUGGUAGAAUUCCCGGUGUAGCGGUGAAAUGCGUAGAGAUCGGGAGGAAUACCAGUGGCGAAGGCGGCCUUCUGGACUGACACUGACGCUGAGGUGCGAAAGCGUGGGUAGCAAACAGGAUUAGAUACCCUGGUAGUC
rnacentral:rRNA from 1 species